CCUACGGGCGGCAGCAGUGAGGAAUAUUGGUCAAUGGGCGGAAGCCUGAACCAGCCAAGUAGCGUGCAGGAUGACGGCCCUACGGGUUGUAAACUGCUUUUAUACGGGAAUAACGCGCCUUACGUGUAGGGCUUUGCAUGUACCGUAUUAAUAAGGACCGGCUAAUUCCGUGCCAGCAGCCGCGGUAAUCCGGAGGGUACGGGCGUUAUCCGGCUUUAUUGGGUUUAAAGGGAGCGUAGGCCGCAUGUCAAGCGUCCUGUGAAAUUUCCGGGCUCAACCCGGGCCUUGCAGCGCGAACUGGCGUGCUUGAGUCCGCUGAAGGCAGGCGGAAUUCGUCGUGUAGCGGGGAAAUGCUUAGAUAUGACGAAGAACCCCGAUUGCGAAGGCAGCUUGCUGCAGCGGAACUGACGCUGAUGCUCGAAAGCGCGGGUAUCGAACAGGAUUAGAUACCCCAGUAGUC
rnacentral:rRNA from 1 species